rnacentral:rRNA from 1 species
GACAGCAGUCGCCGCGGGAACACAGAGGGUGCGAGCGUUAAUCGGAUUUACUGGGCGUAAAGCGUGCGUAGGCGGCUUCUUAAGUCGGAUGUGAAAUCCCUGAGCUUAACUUAGGAAUUGCAUUCGAUACUGGGAAGCUAGAGUAUGGGAGAGGAUGGUAGAAUUCCAGGUGUAGCGGUGAAAUGCGUAGAGAUCUGGAGGAAUACCGAUGGCGAAGGCAGCCAUCUGGCCUAAUACUGACGCUGAGGUACGAAAGCAUGGGGAGCAAACAGGAUUAGAUACCCCCGUAGUCCCUGUCUCUUAUAC